rnacentral:lncRNA from 1 species
GAUUUGCACUCUUCCCUUGAGGUUUCCAGAAAUUCUUGUGGCCUUAUGAGAAUGCAAGUCCGUGAUGUAGUGCAAUAGAUGAAAACUCUGGGACUAAGUUAUAGCUCUGCAUGCUGAAUACAGGAGAGCCAGGCUUUGGUUCUGUUACAGACUGGAUGUGAUGCUGUUUGCCAGCCAACAGACUCCCUUUUCCAAUGUGGAAAGUGGGAGCACCUUUCCCUGCCUCUCUGAUGGGGAUCAGUGAGCUCACAUUAACCAUUUGGGAUAAGAUCCAGUUCUGCUGAAAUAGUCUUGUUGAUAGUCAGGAUUGCCUCAUGAAAGUCUCCAAGAAAUCCUAUGCAUGUGAUGGAGACUUUUGGACACAGACAUGAGUCUUUUACUCUCUUUCCUAUGUUGUUUUUGGUUUUGUAUUUUUUUUUUUCUGUUUUUGUUUGCCUGUUUUUGGUUUUGUUUUUUGAUCAGCGCGGAUGCUGCUCGUCUCUGCCAUGUUUCUUCUGGUUCCCAUGGUGACUACAGCUCAUAGAUAGAGGGAGGGUUGUUCCCUAGCAACUGUUCCCACCUUUCAACCUUCAGGCCACCUCUGUGCCCAUCAGGACCUGCCUGCUUGUAAGAAUCACUGUGGCACCACAUCAGGAACCAUGGACCAGGCAACAACAGAGGUCCCAACAUCCCCCAGAUUUGAUGUGGCCCAAAGUGACUAUGUGCCUACCAACAAUGCAUCAGUGGAACCUGAGGAAGGGAAAAAGGAGCAUCUUCGAGCAGGCUUAAGUCCCAGCAGACAGAGAACAUCCCAAAAGACUUCCAGCACAGUUUCCUGCAAGAACCAAGCAGCUCAGGGAACAAUGAAGAACUCCACGCAUAUCAAAUCCAAGGCAUCUCCUUCUGUAAAGGGUAUUCAGAAUAAAAGACAGAGUAAACAGAAUCUCCAAGCCAAAACUCCCCACAUGCAGAAUCAUCAUUCAAGAAGACUUGAAGAGGAAGGAGAAGAUACUUCUGCCACCAAAGACCCAAGGGCAAGGCUUGAGCCAAGAAGCAGGAACAGCAUUUCCUAUCUGUCUGCAGCAUCCAGGCAGACAGAGGCAGAGAACAACAAAUCCAUCCACAAUGGCAAAGAGUUAGUAGCAGGCCAGCAGCAAACCCCAGGUUCUAAAAUGCCUGGAUCUCUGUGGAAGACCAUCAAAACCAGCUGUGAAAAAGACAAGGAGACCAAUGAGUCCCUGUCAUCAAUAGUGCCAGAUACGAAAGCAGAGUGGAAGAUGCCUCUGGAGAAGAAAAACAGUUUGACCUGUGACAACAGCAAAAAUAAAUUUGCCUGUGCAGAUGAACUUAACAGCGAUGAAGAGGUAUUGAGGAAAGAUGUUUUACAUCUCCUUUAUGGCAUACUGAAGGAUGUUUUAUGGUACAGCGUGAAAU